rnacentral:rRNA from 1 species
UACGUAGGGUGCGGAGCGUUAAUCGGAAUUACUGGGCGUAAAGGGUGCGCAGGCGGCGUCGCAAGUCAGGCGUGAAAUCCCCGGGCUUAACCUGGGAACUGCACUUGAAACUACGAUGCUGGAGUAUGGCAGAGGGAGGUGGAAUUCCACGUGUAGCGGUGAAAUGCGUAGAGGAUGUGGAGGAACACCGAUGGCGAAGGCAGCCUCCUGGGCCAAUACUGACGCUCAUGCACGAAAGCGUGGGGAGCAAACAGGA